rnacentral:rRNA from 1 species
GUGCCAGCCGCCGCGGUAAUACCGGCAGCUCAAGUGAUGGCCACUCUUAUUGGGCCUAAAGCGUCCGUAGCUGGCCGCGCAAGUCCGUCGGGAAAUCCAUCAGCCCAACUGAUGGGCGUCCGGCGGAAACUGCACGGCUUGGGACCGGAAGGCUCGAGAGGUACGUCCGGGGUAGGAGUGAAAUCCCGUAAUCCUGGACGGACCGCCGAUGGCGAAAGCACUUCGAGAAAACGGAUCCGACAGUGAGGGACGAAGGCCAGGGUCUCCAACCGGAUUAGAAACCCCUGUAGUCC